rnacentral:rRNA from 1 species
AUUGAACGCUGGCGGCAUGCCUAACACAUGCAAGUCGAACGAAAAUAGAGGGGCAACUCUCUAUUUUAGUGGCGGACGGGUGCGGAAUGCGUAGGAAUCUACCUUAUAGUGGGGGAUAACUUGAGGAAACUCGAGCUAAUACCGCAUAUGCUCUACGGAGAAAAGGGGGCGCAAGCUCUCGCUAUGAGAUGAGCCUACGUCGGAUUAGCUAGUUGGUGGGGUAAUGGCCUACCAAGGCGACGAUCCGUAGCUGGUCUGAGAGGAUGACCAGCCACACUGGGACUGAGAUACGGCCCAGACUCCUACGGGAGGCAGCAGUGGGGAAUAUUGGACAAUGGGCGAAAGCCUGAUCCAGCAAUGCCGCGUGUGUGAAGAAGG